rnacentral:lncRNA from 1 species
GUGUCAUGCAAGAAGGAGGCGGCGGCGGCGGCCGGAGCUGGAGGGGGAGGAGGGGAGGAACCUGAUCCUCGGUAGCGAAGGGCUGGAGGCAAACACCGAGCUCCCCCUGAGCCGCCUGGGAGCAGGGAGGGUUCUGCUACCCUGAGGGGCCCUCCCCGCGGGGCAGAGGGUGGGAGGAAGUCACAGCAUCUACUUCUGAAUCUGUGCUUGCCUUGAGGAAAAACGGCAUGGCACAGGAAUGUGGACGCUUUCAACCAGAGGAUUCUGUACGACGGUGUCGGCACACAAGGAGUGUUCCACUGACUGACCUCUUUUUGUUUUCAAAUGAAGAGGAGCCAAGAAUAGGACAGCUUGGGAAGCUCAUCCUCGUCUACGGCCAAACGUUGGUUUCUCAUUUCUAGAAGAUGAAAGAUGUGAUGACUCAGGAAAAACUGGAAUCUUAGUAACUGUGGUGGGCAUUGAGCCUUGCCGUCCACAAGAGAAAGCUUGCUGCUCGAGAUGUGAGUCUUCAGAUGUUCCUGCCGCCAUAUCUGACAGCUGCUGCCAAGAUUCCCUGGUGGGAUGGACUCUUAUACCUCAACAACCAGAAGCCCAAGUAAACUCUUCUAUAAAUUGAAUGACUCAUGCUUAAAAAAAAAAACAAAAAACAA